UGCUGGUGAGAAGAUAUGUUCACAGGAAACCUGAAGGGAGGGUUUCAAUUGCAGUGGAUUCAACAGUGAGAACAGAAGAUGUCAGUUAUGAAGAAAUCAUCAUCAUCAAAGAAACUGAAAAAAAGUCAAAGAUGAGAGACUUUAAACCAGAGCCAGACGGCAUCUACUCUUUAC